AAAACAAUUUAUUCCACCAAAUAAACACAAGUAUAUUACUUUCGGGCGCGUCUUCGUUAAUACAGUCUGUCUCCACAGCAAUAAGAAACAGCUAGCUCUUCACACAGGCUGCUAACAUGUAGCUACAGUUAAGGUCAGAAGUCAGGCAUCUAUAUUUAAAUGCUUCUUUUCAUAACAACGAGUCUUCCUAAGGCCACGAAUAUGAUUAAUCGGGUUCUCAUGGGUAUUUUCUCAUUGAUGAUAUAUUAUUCAUAAUAAAGUUCCACUGGUACUGUAGAAAUACCCUUGAAAACCCCAGUAACUUCCAAAGCUGCUGACAUUAGUAACUGAACGGACGCUGAAACCUUUCAUAUUUGUUUAUGAUGAACUUAAUUUCCACUGUGCAUUGUGUUUUCCCUCAACGUUAAGUCCAAUGAUCUAAUCCUGCACAUUCUGUAAGCUUAGAUCACGGGGACGUGGAAGGAUGACACGGGCGCAGCUGAGUUGGGACUCUACUUGACUUCUGAUCAACUGUAUGUACGUGUACAUAUCACAUCGGGUCAUCUUUGCCUUGUCCCCUCCCUUACGCCAGCGCCCCCUUGCCUGCAUGGAGCGAAGGGGGACGCCGCGCCUCUGAGAAUAAUUAUGUCUUGUCACGCUACCAGGCCAGCACAGUCAAUAGGAAGAGAAUGAUGAUGAUGAUGACGAUGACGGUGAUGAUGAUUCUAAUGAUGCUGCAGGUGGUGAUUCAUAAUAAUAAUAAUAAUAAUAAUAAUAAUAAUAAUAAUGAUGAUAGCAAAAAUGAUGAUGAUGAUGAUAACAAUAAUAAUAAUAAUAAUAAUAAUAAUAAUAAUAAUAAUAAUAAUAAUAAUAAUAAUAAUAAUAAUGAUAAUAAUAGUAACCACAUACAGGCCACAUAACGUGAAUUUCAUGAAAAGCUGGCCAAGUGUCUGUGUUAAGUGUGUGACCCUAGCAACCGCAUUAAUAGUUAUGUAUACACACACACACAAAUGUAAAUAAAAUCCAAACGUAUAAACGACACAAUGUAACAAUAAGGUAAUAAACAAACAGGAACCUAUAAUGCCUCUCCUACCCUCCUAUCCUUUCCACAGUGCAGUAUCCUCAGGGUUGCUAUCGCCGCCUGUCACCACUGCCCUGGAGCACAACUCCUGGGGAAUAGUGCCCUCCUCUUACUGCCCUCAGCUUCUCUUGUGUGCCUGGGUUAGUAUGGCAGAUAUAUUUGUUCUGCUAUGUACAUUUCUUUCUAUGCAUAUCCUGAGAGAGAGAGAGAGAGAGAGAGAGAGAGAGAGAGAGAGAGAGAGAGAGAGAGAGAGAGAGAGAGAGAGAGAGAGAGAGAGAGAGAGAGAGAGAGAGAGAGAGAGAGAGAGAGAGAGAGAGAA